UUUUUUUUUUUUUUUUUUUGUGCCGUUUGCAGUUUCAGCUCAUGCAGGCAAGGAGUGUUGGUGUCGUUUGCAGUUUCAACUCGUGCAGACAAGGAGCGUUGGUAUUGCCUUUUAUGCUCGUGCAGACCAGGAGCGUUGUGCCAUGCAGUUUAGGCUCGUGUAGGCGAGGAGCCUUGUGUCUUGCAGUUUAGGCUCGUGUAGGCGAGGAGCCUUGGUUCGUGCAGUUUAGGCUCGUGCGAACAAGGAGCAUUGGUGUUGCCUUUUAUGCUCGUGCAGACCAGGAGCUUUGUGCCAUGCAGUUUAGGCUCGUGCAGGCGAGGAGCUUCGGUUCGUGCAGUUUAGGCUCGUGCGAACAAGGAGCAUUUGUGCCAUGCAGUUUAGGCUCAUGCAGGCGAGAAGCUUCGUGCCAUGCAGUUUAGGCUCUUGCAGACGAGGAGCAUUGGUGUCUUGCAGUUUAGGCUCUUGCAGACCAGGAGCUUUGUGUCUUGCAGU
rnacentral:lncRNA from 1 species